CUUUUUUUUUUUUUUUUUUUUUUGGUUCUUUUUUUCGGAGCUGGGGAUCGAACCCAGGGCCUUGCGCUUCCUAGGCAAGCGCUCUACCACUGAGCUAAAUCCCCAACCCCAAGAUUCUUUACUUCUAACAAGCUUGCAGGCAACAUCGCUGCUGUUGUUCAAGAUGACUCCUGGAGGUCAAAGGAAUGAGGGGGUAUCGUGAUGACACCAUAGUGUUCAUAGUCUGGUGCUCAGCAAGCCUGGAGUGGUAUGGUCCGUAAUUUUCAUGCUCUGUUUUGAAUCCAGAACCAAUAAAAAUCCAAAAAGUAUUUUCCUUUAGAGGAAAAAAUAUGGUUUGAACCUGUAUGAGGUUAUUUAUGAAACGUAUUUCUGAGUUUACAUGAAUGGCAUAUGUUUACUGUGAGUGUUGUGUUUGAUUAUAAGAAGUUACUUUAGACUCUAUUAGGGAUGCUGCUGAGAUGUUUUACCAUAUUCUGGAGCCACAAAUUAGGAAUCCUGAAAUAUUUUUGACUAUCAGAGUUUGUGCUGCAUAGUAAUUUCCUCCAACUUAAAACCUUCCAAUUUGGAGGAAAGCUCAUUAAGACAAGGGAUGUUUUUCUUUAAAACAAUAUUUAAUUAAUUUUUAACUGAAUAUAAAUUCUUCUCUCAUAUGCUACAUCCCUACCACAGUUUCCCCUCCCUCUACUGCUCCCAGUUCCCCUCCCUAGUUCCUUUCUCCUCAGAUCCAUUCUCCCUCUAUUUCCUCUUCAGAAAAGAG
rnacentral:lncRNA from 1 species